rnacentral:rRNA from 1 species
CCUACGGGGGGCAGCAGUGGGGAAUAUUGGACAAUGGGCGAAAGCCUGAUCCAGCCAUGCCGCGUGUGUGAAGAAGGCCUUCGGGUCGUAAAGCACUUUAAGUUGGGAGGAAGGGCUCAUAGCGAAUACCUGUGAGUUUUGACGUUACCAACAGAAUAAGCACCGGCUAACUUCGUGCCAGCAGCCGCGGUAAUACGAAGGGUGCAAGCGUUAAUCGGAAUUACUGGGCGUAAAGCGCGCGUAGGUGGCUUGAUAAGUUGGAUGUGAAAUCCCCGGGCUC